UGCCACAGCCAUAUUACCCUGCAGCCCAAGACCGGUUACUCACUGAAGCUAAAGCAGGGCUGAGCCUAGUCAGUACCUGGAUGGGAGACCAUAUGGGAAAACUAGGUUGCUAUUGGAA
ensembl:rRNA 5S_rRNA 5S ribosomal RNA